AUUGAACGCUGGCGGCAUGCCUUACACAUGCGAGUCGAACGGUAACAGGUCUUCGGAUGCUGACGAGUGGCGAACGGGUGAGUAAUACAUCGGAACGUGCCCGAUCGUGGGGGAUAACGAAGCGAAAGCUUUGCUAAUACCGCAUACGAUCUACGGAUGAAAGCGGGGGAUCUUCGGACCUCGCGCGGACGGAGCGGCCGAUGGCAGAUUAGGUAGUUGGUGGGAUAAAAGCUUACCAAGCCGACGAUCUGUAGCUGGUCUGAGAGGAUGAUCAGCCACACUGGGACUGAGACACGGCCCAGACUCCUACGGGAGGCAGCAGUGGGGAAUUUUGGACAAUGGGCGCAAGCCUGAUCCAGCCAUGCCGCGUGCAGGAUGAAGGCCUUCGGGUUGUAAACUGCUUUUGUACGGAACGAAAAGGUGCCUUCUAAUAAAGGGCGCUCAUGACGGUACCGUAAGAAUAAGCACCGGCUAACUACGU
rnacentral:rRNA from 1 species